rnacentral:misc_RNA from 1 species
UUCAGUUAAACCAUAAUAGUUCAACAACACACCACUAUGGGCAUCAACAUUUGGCCAAGGGUUUUUAACUUUGCCAAGUUCUGUAAGAACAGGAGGAACAACUUCGUAGAGUUUUGAAACCAGUUGAAACAGUGGAUCUUUGGGCAAAUGCUUCAUAGCGAACUCUCUCUGGCAUGUAUAUCUUGGAUCAGUCUUUCGCAGAACUCCAUGUCCAAAACCAGGGACAACCUUGCCACUGUUCAAUGUUUUCCAAACGUAGUCUUUCAACUGCUCUUUGGAAAUAUUCUCCCCACAUUCUUCUACAACAGAUUUUAUCCAUAGCAAAACUUCCUGAUUGGCUAAACCAUGAAGUGGUCCGGCUAAACCAUUCAAAGCAGCAGCAAAGGAGAGGUAAGGAUCCGACAAAGCACUAGCAACCAAGUGACCAGUGUGAGCACUGACAUUACCACCUUCAUGAUCACUGUGUAUUGUGACAUAGAGCCUCAUAAGUUCAUGCAUUUCAGAGCUACUGAAACCAAGCAUGUGAGCAAAAUUUGCACCAUAAUCCAGGGAUUCAUCCUUAGGUAUAGUGUCGCCAUUCUUGUACAUCCUGCGAUAAACAUAAGCAGCAACAAGUGGUACUUGAGCAAUCAGAUUCAUGGAAUCCUCAUAUGUUGGUUCCCAAAACUUUGAUUUGUGAAUCCCUUUCUCGUAUGCCUUUUGAAAUUCACUUUGAACCUGA